AUUGAACGCUGGCGGCAGGCUUAACACAUGCAAGUCGAGCGGGGUGAUGGUGCUUGCACUAUCACUUAGCGGCGGACGGGUGAGUAAUGCUUAGGAAUCUGCCUAUUAGUGGGGGACAACAUCUCGAAAGGGAUGCUAAUACCGCAUACGUCCUACGGGAGAAAGCAGGGGAUCACUUGUGACCUUGUGCUAAUAGAUGAGCCUAAGUCGGAUUAGCUAGUUGGUGGGGUAAAGGCCUACCAAGGCGACGAUCUGUAGCGGGUCUGAGAGGAUGGACCGCCCCACUGGGACUGAAGAACGGCCCAGACUCCGACGGGAGGCAGCAGUGGGGAAUUUUGGACAAUGGGGGGAACCCUGAUCCAGCCAUGCCGCGUGUGUGAAGAAGGCCUUAUGGUUGUAAAGCACUUUAAGCGAGGAGGAGGCUUACCUAGUUAAUACCUGGGAUAAGUGGACGUUACUCGCAGAAUAAGCACCGGCUAACUCUGUGCCAGCAGCCGCCGUAA
rnacentral:rRNA from 1 species